rnacentral:tRNA from 1 species
UCUAGAUUGAUGCCUCGGCUGCGUACAGUGUUCAAGACAUUGUGGGCUGUACUACGGUGGCUCGAGGUUGGGUUAGAUCCCCUAGAUCUAGAU